CAAAAAAAAAAGUUAGAAGUAUUAGAUUGGAUAAAAUAUUUUUAGUUAAAAAGUUGAUCUUUGAUUAACUUCCAGCAAAAAAAUUUGCAACUGCUAAAGAAAUUAUUCAAUAUUAUCUUUUUCUACGAAAAUCAAAAUGUGAAGAAAAAGUGAAGUUCUUAGUAGGUUAUCCUAACAAAAGUUCUUCUUGUAUACCCAAUUGUCCAGUUAAUCAGUCUGACUGCUGCAUACUGUCCAAACUAAUGGUUGCCUGGAUACUUGGUGGAUUUAAAGUGGUUACAAUGCAAAAGCUAAAGAUUAAAAUUGAGAAACUGCUGAAGGAGUGGAUGAAAUUAAAAGAUCAAAAACACAAGACAAAUUCUACUGAAAUACUAAAAAAAAUUCAUUUGUUUGAAGAGAAAAUGAAUAAGGUAUUUUGGAUUGGAGAACAUCCUCACGUUAUGUUUGAAGAAAUAAUAAAAAAUAAAAUAAGAAAAGUGAAAGACAAAGAGGAAGCUUUCUUAAAAGACCAGCUUUGUGAGUACAAGUAGAGAUAAAAGAUAUGAGUAUUCUGUAGUAAGAAGUAAAAGAUGCAUAUCAAAGUUAAAUAGAAAUCCAUCAGCAGAAUUAUAUAAGAAUAAUUUAGAUGAUCAAAGUUCUACUAGUUACACUAGCGACAAAUUAGACAAGGAAACAAAUGUUGACUUUGAUUUUAAUACGCAUUCUAAUAUUCAAAAUUCUGUUCUUCAUCUUAAAAAUAUUCUUCAGUCAACCACUCAUACAUCAGUGGGAGAAGGUAUAACACCCCACAAACAUACAGCAUUGAUUACAAGUGUUAUUGUCAUGGCUGGUGGUUCUGUAGCAAACUUUAAUUGUUCUAAACCCACAUCUUAUAGAGCUGCAGAGAACAUAAUAUCUGUCAGUACUAAAGAAAUAAAAGAAUCUGUAAAAAAUACUGUAAUAUCAUCAAUUUCACUAAUGACUACACACUUUGAUGGAAAAAUUGUUAAUGAAUUAAUAAAGGGAAAGCAAUUUAAAAAAGAUAGAAUUGCAGUUUUGGUAAGGAUUGAUGCAAAAUCAUAACAACUUGGCUUCUAAAGAUUCUAGUUCAGAGGUUAAUCAAAAGCAAGCUAUUGUAGAAUUGAUGGAAUUUUUUGGAUUAAAAGAUAAGGUUAAAUGUCUCUGUUUUGACACAACUUCAGCAAUUACAGGAAAAUGGCAAGUUACUUGCAUGAGAAUAAUUCAAUAAUUUUAACGUUUCUUGUUGUUGAUUGCAUGCAGAUGUCAUGUAAUUGAGCGACACAUAGCCCAUUUCUGGAAGAUUUACCCAAACAGCGAAACUUCUGGUCCAGAAAACAAACUAAUUGAAGUUCUGAAACAAAACUUGAAUAGUAUCGAUGCUGAAACUAAGGAACUGAAAAGAAUAAUAAUACCACCUGGAAAAUGAAUAUACAAUUAAAAACUAGCUGCUGUUCAGUUUCGUCAUAAUGUGAUCAGUUUAAAGAUCGUAUUUUAAACAGUUUAAAGAUCCUUAAAAAGGUCAGAAAUAUAAGAAAAGAAUACCAUGAGCUAGCUGAACUUACCUUAAUGGUUCUAUCGUCAAAUAGGUUUAAGUUUCAUUAUCAGGACCAGUUCACCAUUCAAGAUUUAUAGGAAAAGGUUUACACUACUUAAAAUUGUAUCUUUUAAUGAGUGAAAUCCGAAACCUGACUGACAAGCAUAAAGAAAAAAUAACUGGUAUGGCUUUAUUCAUUUGUCUUUUCUAUACAGAGUCGUUUCUAAGGGCAGAGUUAAGUUCUUUGGCACCAACACAGGAUAUGAAAGCUUACUGGCAAAUGAAAAGGUUUGAGGAAUGGAACCUACUUGGCUCUCAAGCUGUUGCAAGCUCUAUUCUCAGAUAUAUUGCCCUAGCAGAUAAAGUAGGGAACUGUAGGGAACUUGGUGAUAUGGCCAGAAAACUGUAUAGUUUACAAAGAUGUCUAAGUGACAGUUUUUCUUUGGAGCGCCAGGUUAAGGACCAAACUAUAUUGAAUAGCCUUAACUUCAGUAAAGAUGAGCCUCCUAGUUUGACUCUAUUAAUAAUAGAAAAGUUGUGGCUAGUUUUUGACAUGCUCAGGAAUGUACUAUUUACUAUUUAGUUGAAAAUUUUUAUAAUUUGA
rnacentral:misc_RNA from 1 species